UACGUAGGGUGCAAGCGUUGUCCGGAAUUAUUGGGCGUAAAGGGUGCGUAGGCGGCGCGGUAAGUCGGGUGUGAAAUCUCGGAGCUUAACUUCGAAACUGCAUUCGAUACUGCCGUGCUUGAGGACUGGAGAGGAGACUGGAAUUUACGGUGUAGCGGUGAAAUGCGUAGAUAUUCGCAAGAACACCAGUGGCGAAGGCGGCUCACUGGCCCGGUACUGACGCUGAGGUGCGAAAGCGUGGGGAGCAAACAGG
rnacentral:rRNA from 1 species